CCUACGGGGCGCACCAGUGGAGAAUAUUGCACAAUGGGCGCAAGCCUGAUGCAGCCAUGCCGCGUGUAUGAAGAAGGCCUUCGGGUUGUAAAGUACUUUCAGCGGGGAGGAAGGUGUUGUGGUUAAUAACCGCAGCAAUUGACGUUACCCGCAGAAGAAGCACCGGCUAACUCCGUGCCAGCAGCCGCGGUAAUACGGAGGGUGCAAACGUUAAUCGGAAUUACUGGGCGUAAGGCGCACGCAGGCGGUCUGUCAAGUCGGAUGUGAAAUCCCGGGCUCAACCUGGGAACUGCAUUCGAAACUGGCAGGCUAGAGUCUUGUAGAGGGGGGUAGAAUUCCAGGUGUAGCGGUGAAAUGCGUAGAGAUCUGGAGGAAUACCGGUGGCGAAGGCGGCCCCCUGGACAAAGACUGACGCUCAGGUGCGAAAGCGUGGGGAGCAAACAGGAUUAGAUACCCUCGUAGUC
rnacentral:rRNA from 1 species